AUGCAUAGAUAUUUUGCUUUUGUUUAUUUAAGCAUUUAUUUAAGAGUAUUUGCAAUCAAUACAAAAUUACCAACUUCCAUCCUUCUUUUGCACCAAAAUGAUAGGACUUGAGAAUGCUCAGUCUAAUGAUUCCUGCAUGCAACAUCUGACAGACUAGUUUCUCAGUUUCAGUUUUCUGAUAGUGUGGAUACCUGUAUGGUCUCGGGUUUAGAAUUGAAGCUCCUUCCUUCAAGGUAAUGGCAUGAUUAUGUCUUGAAGGAGANAGCCANUGAGGCUCCNCAAAAANCUCUGCAAACUCCUGCAACAACUGCUACACAGUCUCUGGACAUGGCUCCUAUGGUUGCUUUUUUAAUUCGGCCAUAAAAACAAUUUAUUAAACACCUGUGCUNUAACUCCUUCAUCAUCUUUACCAUUGCUUGAACUGAAACAGAAGCCUCUAGAGAGAUUGAUCCCCUCUAAGCACCACUUCUUUAUGAGCUCAUUGAAGUUGGCUUUGAUCUNGGCAAUUCCUCUAACCGUUCCAACCUGAACACUAUCAACUCCAUGUAAGUCAAACAAAUAAAAGUUUUGCUGAAUCUCUAGUCCUUGUAAUUGGAGCUUCAUUUCAGAGCACAUCCCCUUCUCCUCUCCUUAUAGCCAUCUCCUAACU
rnacentral:lncRNA from 1 species